GAAAGAGAGCCAGAACACAG
rnacentral:miRNA from 1 species